rnacentral:lncRNA from 1 species
GAGUUUGCACUGGGAAACUCUCACUUUUAAAACCAUCGGAUCUCCUGAGACUUUUUCGCCAUCACAAGAACAGCACAGGAAAGACUUGCCCCCAUGAUUCAAUUACCUCCCACUGGCUCCCUCCCGCAACAAGUGGGAAUUCAAGAUGAAAUUUGGGUGGGGACACAGCCAAACCAUAUCAAAUGUUUUAUGCUAACUGAAAAAAAAAAAAAAAAAAAAAAAAACCGAUUCAAAAGGCUAUAUCCUAUGCGAUUCUAUUUAUGUGACAAUUGGGAAAAGUCCAAAAUUUAAGAACCAAAUACAGAUCAGUGGUUGCCUGGUGCUGGGAUUAGGGAAGGCCUUCACUAAAUUCACAGGGAAUUUUGGGGGGCUGAUGGAACUGUUCUAUGUCUCAAUUAUAGUGAUAGUUAUAUUACUGCAUACAUUUGUCAAAACUCAUAGAAUUGUACACUAAAAAGUGUGAAUUUACUGCAUAUAAAUUUUAUCUAAGUGAUUCUGAUAUUAAAAUUUAUUACAAGAUAAAGCUAAUUAUACAAGACCAAAAUGUUUAAAAAGCAGGGUUUUUAAAUAUGACCAUACGAACGAGAAAUGUAAGGGUACUAAUAAAGGGGGCACAUUUUCUUACUAAAUCUCAGGAUAUGCUAUAUUACAUAAUUCUUAUCGUCACUACAUUUUACAAAGCAAUCUCAAACAGUAUAUUUUUAUUUUCACAAUGGCACACUAAUAUAAGCUAGGAUAGUUUACUUAAAAUACAUUCUCCCCUUAAAUAUGACACCAAAAGCACAGGAAACCAAAUAAAUAUUAGAUAAACUGGACUUCAUCAAAAUUUAAAACUUUUCUGCCUUUAGAGUACCAUAAAGAAAGUGAAAGACAACCCACUGUAUGGGAAAACUAUUUGCAAAUCAUAUAUCUGAUAAGGGACUUGUAUCUAAACACAUAAAGAACUUUAAAGUUCUUAUUAUUCAGUAAUUUUUUCAAAUCCAAUUUAAAAAACGGGCAAAGACCUUAACAGACAUUUCUGCCAAGAAAAUAUACAAAUGCCAAUAAGCACAUGAAAAGAUGUUCAACAUCAUUAGUUAUUAGGGAAAUGCAAAUCAAAACCACAAUGAGGUAACCCUUUUAUACUUGCAGUAUGGCUAUAAUCAAAAAGAUAAUCUAGUAGAUGUUGGUGAGGAUGUGUAGAAAUCAGGACCUUCAUGCACUACUGGUAGGAAUGUAAAAUGGUACAGGCAAUUUGGAAAACAGUCAGCAAUUCCUCAAAAGGUCAACAUAGGAUUUCCAUAUGACCCAGCAAUUCCAUUACUGGCUAUAUAACCAAGAGAAAUAAAAACAUAUGUGCACACAAAAACUUAUACAUGAAUAUUCAAAGUAUUUAAAAUUGCCAGACAGUAGAAACAACCCAAAUAACCCAAAGCUACCAAUUGAUAAACAGAUAAAUGUUAUAUCCAUAUAACAGAAUGUUACUUGCCAAUAAAAAGAAAUAAAAUACUGAUAGGGGCUGCAACAUGGAUGAACCUUGAAAAUAUCUUAAGUAAAAGUCAGUCACAAAAGACCACAUAUUAUAUGAUUCCAUGUAUAUGAGAUUUCCAAAAUAGACAAAUUUAUUGAGACAUAAAAUAGAAUAGUGGUUGCCUAGGGCUGUAAGGGAUUGAGGGGAGCAGGGUCAGGGUGUGGUGGCUAAAGGGUAUGAAGUAUCUUUUAGGGAUUAUGAAAAUGGUUGUGGUGAUAGUUGCACAAUUCUAUGAAUAUACCAAAAGCCAUUGAAUUGUAUACUUUAAAAGGGUGAAUUACAUCUCAAUAAAGUUGUUAAAAAAUAUUCUCUGUAAGGGGAAAGAGUUUUCAGUAAACACUAAUAAAAUAACUGAACAGUCAAAAUGGCAUCUAUACAAAUGUGUAACCUUAAUAAUUUUAUUGUAUCUUUGGCAUUAAGUUAGGAAAAAUACCAAAAUAAUUACCCUUUCUACUGAAGACAACUGUUGCUGUAAUCCAUCACACUUUUUGUUUGCUUCUUCGAAAAGAGUCUUGUAUUUUUCUACUUGAGACUGUUGCAUAUUAAUUGUUCGCUGCUGUCUCAUAAAAUCUUCUUCAAAAUUUUUUACUUGAGACUUUAAAUUCUGAAUUUCAUCCUCCUAUAGUUAUGAAGUUAUAGAUUAUGUGAAAAAAUAUGUAAGAUUUGUUAUCAAAACAAAGCAGAAAAAAAGAAGUUUCAUAUGUUCUUUGAUAUUUAUACACAUUUCAUGAAAAACAAAUUACAGUCUAUUUUUAUCUUCAAAACUGGAAGUCAAAUGUUUUAUUUGCAUUUAAUAGCUUACACUACAUUUGUAAGACUAAUAUAGAGAAUUCUAAUUGUAACAAGAAUUUAGGAUAUUUCAGCUCUGUGAAAAUUCAACAUCUCAGAAUAAAGUUCAGUACUUAUAUACAAUUCUUGAAUUCAAAAUUUAACUAUGAUUUAUAUCUAAAUAAAGUAAUUC